ACAUUAAACAGCUAGCCCAUUUUUCCAGUAUCAACACGUUUCUACCAAUAACCCUUCAAUCACUAGAUUCAUUUAAACAAACCAUUUUUCCCCCCAAGUAUGGGCGACAGAAAAGGAACACUUCGGCGCAAUAGAGAAAGUACCGUAAGGGAAAGCUGAAAGAGAAGUGAAACAACCCAGUAAAACCCAGAAAAGCAGAGAUUAAACCUCGUACCUUUUGCAUCAUGAACUAGCAAGAACACCCAGGCAAAAAGGCUUUUUAGUCUGGUUCCCCGAAACCGUCGUGAGCUACUUCAAGACAGCCUUAAUUAAGGGCAAACCCGUCUCUGUGGCAAAAGGGUGGGAAGAGCUUUGAGUAGCGGUGACAGACCUAUCGAACGCGGUUAUAGCUGGUUGCCUGGAAAAUGGAUAGAAGUUCAGCCUUUUAUAUUCUCGAUUCCCGUGCACACGCACACACAGAUGAUAAGAAGUUAAAAGAGUUACCCAAAGGGGGUACAGCCCCUUUAAGACAAGACACAACUUUUCCAUGGAGGAUAAAGAUCAAAAUUGUAACAGGAAAAUAUGUUUAUGGUGAGCCUAAAAGCAGCUACCCUUAAUGAAAGCGUUAAAGCUUAAACACUACUUAUCCCCUAAUCCCGACAACUUAAUCUAAACCCCUAAAACAAACCAGGCCGUUCCAUGCUCCCAUGGAAGAGACUAUGCUAGUAUGAGUAAUAAGAAAAUCAGACUUUCUCCUUGCACAUGUGUAUGUCGAAACGGACCCCUACCGACCUUUAACGGACCCAACACAAGAGGGCAUAAGGCUACCCACAAACGAGCAAGAAAAACACCCUUAAAUCAACCGUUAACCCUACACUGGUGUGCCUACUAGGAAAGACUAAAAGGGAAAGAAGGAACUCGGCAAACACCAAUGAAGCCUCGCCUGUUUACCAAAAACACCGCCUCUUGCAAAACCAAUGAAUAAGAGGUCCCGCCUGCCCUGUGACUACAUGUUCAACGGCCGCGGUAUUUUGACCGUGCGAAGGUAGCGCAAUCACUUGUCUUUUAAAUGGAGACCUGUAUGAAUGGCACCACGAGGGCUUAACUGUCUCCUUUCCCAAGUCAGUGAAAUUGAUCUCCCCGUGCAGAAGCGGGGAUAAACCCAUAAGACGAGAAGACCCUAUGGAGCUUCAGACACUAAGACAGUUCAUGUUAAGACCCUUAGACAACAGACUAAACUGAGUGACUCCUGUCCUAAUGUCUUCGGUUGGGGCGACCAUGGGGAAACAAGUAACCCCCACGUGGACCAGAAGUAUUCUUCUUCCAAAACCAAGAACAUCCAUUCUAAGUAGCAGAAAAUUUGACCUUAUGAUCCGGCAAAGCCGAUUAACGGACCAAGUUACCCUAGGGAUAACAGCGCAAUCCUCUUUGAGAGCCCCUAUCGACAAGAGGGUUUACGACCUCGAUGUUGGAUCAGGACAUCCUAAUGGUGCAGCCGCUAUUAAGGGUUCGUUUGUUCAACGAUUAAAGUCCUACGUGAUCUGAGUUCAGACCGGAGUAAUCCAGGUCAGUUUCUAUCUAUGCCCUCGUCUUUUUUAGUACGAAAGGACCAAAAAGACAAGGCCAAUCUUUCAAGAACGCCUUCUUCUCACCCAGUGAAAUCAACUAAACUGGCCAAGAAAAGAGACCUGCACAGCCUGAGAUCAAGGCAA
rnacentral:rRNA from 1 species